CGGCGCCCCAAGUGGCAAUCGCGUUUAUUGGGCCUAAAGCGUCCGUAGCCGGACUGAUAAAUCCGCUGUGAAAUGGUUGCGCUUAACGUAACCGCGUGCAGUGGACACUGUUAGUCUCGAGACCGGGAGGAGCAAGAGGUAUGCCUUGGGGACUGGUAAAAUGGUAUAAUCCAAGGUAGACCACCGAUGGCGAAGGCAUCUUGCCAGAACGGAUCUGACGGUGAGGGACGAAAGCCAGGGGAGCGAACCGGAUUAGAUACCCGAGUAGUCC
rnacentral:rRNA from 1 species